GACGAACGCUGGCGGCGUGCUUAACACAUGCAAGUCGAACGGAAAGGCCCUGCUUUUGUGGGGUGCUCGAGUGGCGAACGGGUGAGUAACACGUGAGUAACCUGCCCUUGACUUUGGGAUAACUUCAGGAAACUGGGGCUAAUACCGGAUAGGAGCUCCUGCUGCAUGGUGGGGGUUGGAAAGUUUCGGCGGUUGGGGAUGGACUCGCGGCUUAUCAGCUUGUUGGUGGGGUAGUGGCUUACCAAGGCUUUGACGGGUAGCCGGCCUGAGAGGGUGACCGGCCACAUUGGGCCUGAGCUACGGCCCAGACUCCUACGGGAGGCAGCAGUGGGGAAUAUUGAACAAUGGGCGGAAGCCUGAUGCAGCAACGCCGCGUGCGGGAUGACGGCCUUCGGGUUGUAAACCGCUUUCGCCUGUGACGAAGCGUGAGUGACGGUAAUGGGUAAAGAAGCACCGGCUAACUACGUG
rnacentral:rRNA from 1 species